AGAGUUGAUCCUGGCUCAGAACGAACGCUGGCGGCAUGGAUUAGGCAUGCAAGUCGAACGGGAGCAGCAAUGCUCCAGUGGCGCAAGGGUGAGGAACACGUGAACAGCCUGCCUUCGAGUUGGGGAUAGCUUCUGGAAACGGGAGAUAAUACCGAAUAACACCAUUUGGUCGCAUGACCGGAUGAUCAAAGCAGCAAUGCGCUUGAAGAGGGGUUCGCGUCCCAUUAGCUAGUUGGUGAGGUAACGGCCCACCAAGGCGAUGAUGGGUAGCUGGUCUGAGAGGACGACCAGCCACAUUGGAACUGAGAUACUGCCCAGACUCCUACGGGAGGCUGCAGUCGAGUAAUUUUGGGCAAUGGACGAAAGUCUGAACCCCCAGCAAUGCCGCGUGCGGGAUGAAGGUCUUCGGAUUGUAAACCGCUGUCAAGAGGGACGAAAUAUGACGGUACCUCUGGAGGAAGCCACGGCUAACUACGUGCCAGCCGCCGC
rnacentral:rRNA from 1 species